GACGAAUUCUAGUAGGUGUAGCCCUUGACGUACAAGCUCUCGGACGUGGCGGCGUCGCCGGCGGCGCCGCCGUACUUGCCGAGCGUGGCCUCGGAGUUGGCCUUGCACCGGGCGAGGAAGGCAGCCUGAGCGGCGGCGACGUUCUCCUUCUUGCCGCCCCACUUCUUGAUGGUGCUCUGCUGCAGGGCACGGCCGAAGGAGAAGGUGAGCGUCCAUGGCUUGAGCACCUCCAGCUUGUUCAUGGCGUUCAGGUUCUGCGACGCCUCCUCCUCGCUCUGCCCGCCGGAGAGGAACACUAUCCCGGGCACCGCCGGUGGCACCGUGCG
rnacentral:misc_RNA from 1 species